rnacentral:rRNA from 2 species
GUCCUUAGUUACCAGCACGUUAUGGUGGGCACUCUAAGGAGACUGCCGGUGACAAACCGGAGGAAGGUGGGGAUGACGUCAAGUCAUCAUGGCCCUUACGGCCUGGGCUACACACGUGCUACAAUGGUCGGUACAAAGGGUUGCCAAGCCGCGAGGUGGAGCUAAUCCCAUAAAACCGAUCGUAGUCCGGAUCGCAGUCUGCAACUCGACUGCGUGAAGUCGGAAUCGCUAGUAAUCGUGAAUCAGAAUGUCACGGUGAAUACGUUCCCGGGCCUU